rnacentral:rRNA from 1 species
UUGCCAGCCGGCCGCGGUUAUACGAGAGGCUCAAGUUGACAGACAACGGCGUAAAGAGUGGUUAAGGAAAAUACACUAACUAAAGCGGAACACCCUCAUAGCUGUUAUACGCUUCCGAGGGCAUGAACCCCAACCACGAAGGUGGCUUUACAUUACCUGAACCCACGAAAGCUAAGAAACAAACUGGGAUUAGAUACCCCACUAUGCUUAGCCUUAAACAUUGAUUGUUUACCACAUCAAACAUCCGCCCGGGAAUUACGAACACUAGUUUAAAACCCAACGACUUGGCGG